rnacentral:rRNA from 1 species
CCUACGGGAGGCAGCAGUGGGGAAUAUUGCACAAUGGGGGAAACCCUGAUGCAGCGACGCCGCGUGAGUGAAGAAGUAAUUCGUUAUGUAAAGCUCUAUCAGCAGGGAAGAAAAUGACGGUACCUGAGUCAGAAGCCCCGGCUAACUACGUGCCAGCAGCCGCGGUAAUACGUAGGGGGCCAGCGUUAUCCGGAUUUACUGGGUGUAAAGGGAGCGUAGACGGCAGUGCAAGUCUGGAGGGAAAGGCGGGGGCUUAACCCCCGGACUGCUCUGGAAACUGUACGGCUGGAGUGCAGGAGAGGUAAGGGGAAUUCCUAGUGUAGCGGUGAAAUGCGUAGAUAUUAGGAAGAACACCAGUGGCGAAGGCGGCUUACUGGACUGUAACUGACGUUGAGGCUCGAAAGCGUGGGGAGCAAACAGGAUUAGAUACCCGUGUAGUC